AUGUCCAAGAGCCGCAAGAUCAGCCGCAUGCUUGCCGAGCAGGACGAGCAGCGUCUAGAGGGCCAGCGGCGGCGGCGGAGUGGGAGUUCUGAAGGCAAUGUCGAAGAGCAUGCUACGGCGGAAACAGAGAUUGAGGAAGCAGAGGAGGAGGACGGGGACGAGGAGCAGCAGCAUGUUAGGAUUCAUGACGGGAAGUCGUACCGCAUCACCUUCCCGGACUUUCCCGGCGGGCCGGGCACCUUCGAGGCGGCGGCCAAGUUCUGCUACGGCGUCCGCGUCGAGCUCACGCCCUGGAACGUCGCCCCGCUGCGGUGCGCGGCCGAGUACCUGGAGAUGACGGAGGAGCACUCCGAGGACAACCUGUCUGCACGCGCCGAGGCCUACCUCUCGCAGUCUGUGCUCCGCCACCCCGGCGAGGCCACCAAGGCGCUCAAGUCCUGCGAGGAGCUGCUGCCGCACCCGAGGAGCUCGGCAUUGUCGCCCGCUGCGUGGACGCCAUCGCCGCGCGCUCGUCGGCGAUGUCGCGCUCCUGGUUCGGCGACCUGGCCGUGCUCGCUGCUGGCGUCCAUGGCUUCCCCGCGAGCGCGGCAUCCGAAUCCUCGUCUGCAGCGGCCGGCGACGGCGGUGCGUCACGCCGCUGGCCCGAGCGAGGCGUGGCAGAUGACAACGGUGCAGGAGAGCCAAACGCUGCGGGUGGACAUGGACGGCAUGAUGAGCCGGGUGCAGGGCCUGGAGAGGGAGUGCUCCAGCAUGCGAAGGGCGAUCAAGAAGAUCGACGGCGGUGGCGCCGCGUCGCAAGGCAGGGGCAGCCCGGACGUGGCCGCCCCGACGGGCUGGCGGUCGAGGUACCGGUGCAAGUUCAGCACGCAGGUGUGCGACUCGCAGGCGCGCGACGCGGUCGUGUCCACGGCGUCCAGGAUGGGUGUCCAGGGCGUCCGUUGA
rnacentral:rRNA from 1 species